rnacentral:rRNA from 1 species
CCUACGGGUGGCUGCAGUGAGGAAUAUUGGUCAAUGGACGAGCGUCUGAACCAGCCAAGUAGCGUGAAGGAUGACUGCCCUAUGGGUUGUAAACUUCUUUUAUAUGGGAGUAAAAUGUUCCACGUGUGGGAUUUCGUAUGUACCCUAUGAAUAAGGAUCGGCUUACGCCGUGCCAGCAGCCGCGGUAAUACGGAGGAUACGAGCGUUAUCCGGAUUUAUUGGGUUUAAAGGGAGCGUAGGUGGAUUGUUAAGUCAGUUGUGAAAGUUUGCGGCUCAACCGUAAAAUUGCAGUUGAAACUGGCAGUAUUGAGUACAGUAGAGGUGUGCGGAAUUCGUGGUGUAGCGGUGAAAUGCUUAGAUAUCACGAAGAACUCCGAUUGCGAAGGCAGCUCACUGGACUGCAACUGACACUGAGGCUCGAAAGUGUGGGGAUCAAACAGGAUUAGAUACCCUUGUAGUC